AGCAGCAGGAUUGUUGGAACAAAAAAGAUCUUUUGGGGGCCGUCAAAAAAAAGUGCACUUUGAAAUGUGCUGUUAAAUAUUCAUACUCCAGCUAGGAUGCUUGCCUGUGUGCAGCUGUGGCUGUUAAUGAUAUCCAACCAAUUAUAUUGUACGAAUUCUUAAUCUUAUUUCUUUGGAUCAUAUUAUUAAUAUGUGCCAGAAUCCACAACUACACACAGCAAAUUAUGUAAAGUAUCAUCAGGGAGCAUCACAGAGGGCGAUAAAUGAGCAGUGCAGGCACAGAGAAAAACUGGGGGUUUGGGAUACUCUGGUCUUUACUGUUUGUGAUCUACUGGCUUUGGAGAAGCUCACACACACACAGACAUGGAAACACUUCGGGUGGGCUACAUUAGAAAUGUGUUAAAUAUCGUGUUUCUGGAUUACAUGUGAUGUAGUUGUCAGUGUGGCACAUCGGUCUGCUAAUUGCUGUCUACUUAUACUUUAAUUAUGCAAUACUGAACAUCUUAAAAAUACUGUUGUAUGAGACCAGUGUAGUACUAGUGCUCUACAGUAAUACGGUUCACUGGUGUGCCUUAUAAAGUGAUCACAGCGUUGGUGUACUGCAGUGCGUUUCUCUAAUUCCUGCAGAGGUUAAGCUGGAUGUGAAGAUACGAAGGCUGUCAUAGCACUUGUUAGACACUAUGAAUGGGAGAUGCUACCUGAAACUGCCUUGUAAUUGCCGUCUGAUUUGCAUAACUGUGCACAUUAACAACCUCUCAAAUGAGCUUUAAUUUUUUUCACUGAGUGUUUUGAUGCUCCUUAAGAGUUGGUGUUAAUUAAUUAACAGCAUGUGGGUGAAGAUGAGUGUGUGUAUGUCUCUUGCAUUUUCUUUUACUUGGACUUGAUAAGGAAAGAUGCCAUUGCUACCAUAGCAACAGACACUAAGGUCUUUACCUUACAAUACUAAGUGCCUUGAGGCAACUAUUGUUGUGAUUUGGCACUAUAUAAAUCAAACUGAAUUGAAACUAUGCUUGCUCAUAGGCGAUUGAUCGUUGGGGUCAUCAGUUUAAAACUGUAGGGUCUUUGUACAAAGUAAAGACUGCUGAGAACUGGUGUUGCAUUAAUGGAAUUAAAUUGAACCAUUAAAGUGUUCUGCUGAUGCAGCGUUGCUGGUUUGUGCUGGUUAAUUUUUAUUUCUGCAACAUUUAAAUGCAUUGCUUCACUAUCAUUACCACCUUAAAGCCAUGCGGCUUAGAGGAGACUGACUAGUCAAAUCAGAAUAUUAAGAUUAAUCUUAAAAAGUUUGAAUGUCUUUGGGGUUGAUUGUACUGUUCAUGCUGUUUUCUAAAUUUCAGCAAACAGGCAACAGAGAUUUUGAAUGAAUGUUUUUAUUCCCAUCUGGCCAACCCUUACCCCAAUGAGGAAGUCAAGGAGGAGCUGGCCAAGAAGUGCAGCAUCACUGUUGCUCAGAUAGCCAACUGGCUUGGAAACAAGAGGAUUCGGUAUAAGAAGAAUAUUGCAAAGUUCCAGGAGGAAGCUAACCUUUAUGUUAUGAAGACAGCGACAAGUGUGUCUUCGCUUUCCAGCCAAGCCAACUCUCCAGCUACACCAAACUCAGGAGGAUACCCAGCAAUAUGUACCCCACCUGAUGGGAGGCUUUGAGGAGUCACUGGAGGUGCUGUUCUUCAUCCUCUCUGCCUCCAUGUGAGUAGUUAGUCUAACACAUUGCUGUUCUAGCCUCAUCUACUAGAUGUAGAGUAUGAAACAAGGUCAAAGAACAACCACUUGCUUUCUGCAGAGACUUCUAUUUGUGUGUCCCAGGUGCUAUAGCCACAUUUUACCCAUACUGCACUGCGAGUUUGAACCCAUUUUAGGGGGUGCUCAAGAAGCCCCAGAUUUCACUUUAACAUGCCUGAAAAUAACUGCAGUAGCCUAAAAUUAACAAUAAUCAUGUAUUUUAAUUUUGUUUGUCAUU